AGAAAGAAAGAAAGAAAGAAAAGAUGAAGAGUUAUUCCAACACGUGAUCUCCAUUGAAGAACCAUGCAAUCUCUCUGGGUUGGUAGGGGUCAGAGUUAGUGGCUCUCCCUGAUUUCGGUGAGAAAUCACUAUUCCUCCACCACAAGGGAAAAAAGGCAUCCUGACUGACACUUGACAUCUGUUUCCACAGCGAAAAAUGUAUCUAAGAGCAAUUCUGAUGGAAAUGCAGGCCAUGUUUCCUGGAGGGGCUUGUCCUAGGGGAUAGAGAGCAUUCUUUGAUGUCAGAGGAAAUGCAAGAUUCCCUGAGGCCUGAAGAAAGAAGAGGGAACCCAUGGUGUAUGCAAGUCCAAGUUGAAAACUGUAGUUCCAGGGCAAAUACUUCUGGAGGUAAA